CAACCCUCAGGCCUCAGUUAGCCUGGUGUUGGGGGCGCCGCGGCGCUCUGCCGCAGCCCCCUGAAAGGCAGGGGCGGAUCUUCUGGGAUUCCGAGCGCAGUAAUUUAACCUCGCUUAGGGCAUCUCCGGGGGGCUCCAGCCCUAAAAACCCCAACUCUUUUAGAA
rnacentral:misc_RNA from 1 species